rnacentral:rRNA from 1 species
AUUGAACGCUGGCGGCAGGCCUAACACAUGCAAGUCGAGCGAGCGGCGGACGGGUGAGUAAUGUAUGGGGAUCUGCCUGAUGGAGGGGGAUAACUACGGGAAACUGUGGCUAAUACCGCGUACCAUAGGAUGAGCCCAAGUGGGAUUAGCUAGUAGGUGGGGUAAAGGCUCACCUAGGCGACGAUCUCUAGCUGGUCUGAGAGGAUGAUCAGCCACACGGGGACUUAGACACGGCCCCGACUCCUACGGGAGGCAGCAGUGGGGAAUAUUGCACAAUGGGCGCAAGCCUGAUGCAGCCAUUCCGCGUGUAUUAAGAAGGCCUUAGGGUUGUAAAGUCCUUUCAGCGGGGAGGCGUUACCCGCAGAAGAAGCCCCGGCUAACUCCGUUCCAGCAGCCGCGGUAAUUC